UGAGCAAUCUGCCCUUCUCUUCGGAAUAAGCGUUGGAAACGACGUCUAAUGCCGAAUACGACCUCCUUUCGUAUGAUCAGAGGUGGAAAGCUCCGGCGGAGAAGGAUGAGCUCGCGGCCUAUCAGCUAGUUGGUGUGGGUAAUGGCCCACCAAGGCGACGACGGGUAGCCGGCCUGAGAGGGUGACCGGCCACACUGGGACUGAGACACGCCCCAGACUCCUACGGGAGGCAGCG
rnacentral:rRNA from 1 species